rnacentral:lncRNA from 1 species
ACAUCGUUGAAUCUCUGAAUACCAUUACUUCUGAAACCUUUCUAUUUGCUUUCCUCCAGUUCAAUAACAUGGAAAUAUGGAACGUCAGGUGAUGUGCCGUACGUGAAGGUAACAUCUCCAGUCUGGUCAAUGUUAACUUGAUUAACCAUGCAACAAUCAAACAAGAACAUACACGAUCAAUCACACCAACAUGAUUCGGACCAGGGGUGCUACUCUCAAAUACGCACACUCCCAAUCCAAGAAUGAUUUCACUUACUGUAUUCUUUACACUUCUGAUCUAUCUGAAACACUCUUCAUAAUCUUAUAACUGCUACUAGAACUCGAUAAGAACCACUUGGUGAAAUCCCUAGGCU